rnacentral:lncRNA from 1 species
UUAAAACAACUUUUCUAGAAAACAAAUCCCUUUACAUAAAACGAAUUACAUAUACGGCCUUAUUUUCAUAUUCCAAGCGAAGACACCGAUCCUUUUUCUUCAUGAAAUCCAAAUCUUGCAAGCCUCUAAUAAAUGCCUCUACUAGCUCCUCUUUUCUUAAUCCAGGCUACGACUCAUUAUCCUCACGACAUUGAUUAACUCCAUUAAGAAAAUCGAGAUGUGACGGCUCUCGAACAAUCUUUAUCAGCUUGAAUCUUUAGGUAAGGACUUGUUUUUCUCCACGAACUGUCAGCCUUCUUCCGUCAAUUUAGACAACCGUAUUAUAAUCCACUUCAUCAGGAAAUUCGUUUUCUUAUAACAAGCUGUUCUAUUUAGCAAUCAAAUAUGAAUCAACACCUCCUUUCUAUGAUAAUGUAAUGCAAUGCAAUUACAAACAAAACAAAAAUAAAAAACGUUAGUACAAGUGAAAUAAAUAUCAAAUAAAGUACCUAUUCAGGUGACCACUAAAUUUGGGCAAGGUUCUACGUAAGGUGGAAUCUCAAGGUUCACUAUAUGUGGUUCAGUUCUAGAGAAAGGGUACCUCAACCAAUAGAUUCCCCAAUUCUCACCCAUUAUAGGCUCAUAUGAAUCGAGUUCGGUUCAGGGGAAUACAUUUCCCUAUGACCAUGCGGAGAUGAAAAUCUCACGGAACCAUAGGUACAGAUGUAUCCCGGAAGCAAUCCACUAGCCCGUACAGAGGUGAAAACCUCACGAAAUUGCUCCCACUUAACAGGUAUAACCACAACGGUUAUGCAAUGCAAUGCCAUUUUAUUCUACAAGACUUGAACCAAAAACAAUUAUGCAAACAAAUGCAAUUAAAAGAAUCAUGGUCUUCAAAACGAAUUUUCAAUUCUUUGACAAAAGGACAGCAAAUAAUCAAUUUUAUGGCCUGACUCUUGUUCAAUCACCAGUGGAGUCGCCAUGCUGUCGAAACCUUUUUUUUUUACUUUGAAAGCAAUGGGGAUCGACUUUUAAAAAAUCGAGUGUGGAGUCACCACCAAUCUCUUGAUUUAGGUGUGAUUGGGCCACCUACUAAAAUGCUUUAUUCAUGAAAAAUCAAAAAGUAGGGGGAGUCGGUUACACAUGAGGAAGGGUUAGCACCCUCAUUACGCCCAGAAAUUGGUACCAAAUUGAUUCGAUGUUGUCCUUAUAUCAAAAGUUUUUUAAAGAAAAGAUUUUCUGAAAUAUGAUUCUUUUUAAAAAUGUUUGAAUAGCUCAAAUUAGCGGUUAAAAAUCUCUCGUUCCAAAGAUAUGUGGUUUCAUACCCAGUACGAUUAGAUACGACCCCCUAUACCUUUAAGAUGCGAUCGAUUUUCGAAUUUUGAAAAAAAAAACAUACAUUAAAAUUAUAAAAGGUUAUCAAAAUAUUUGGUUCUCUGGAAAAGUCAUACCCAGUAUGAUUGAGCACAAUUUUCCAAAAUCUCCAAAUAUUAGAUAUUGUCUUAUUUCAGAAUUUUUGAAUAAUAGAAAUUUAGAAAUUUGCUUAAAAACAUGUUUAUUGAAAAUAAUUAUGAUAAAAAUACAAAGUUCAAAUCAAAUUAUAUAUGAAAUACUUAAAACACAAAUUCAUUCAAAAAUUGAUAAUUAACAUGAUAACUUAAAUAAUGUAUUAAAUAUGAAGGAAUGACAAUGCAUGAUAUAAAAUAAUAUAAUAAAUUUAUGAAACAUGUAUAUACAAGUAGAAUUAGAUAUAAUUGUUUGUAAAAAAUGUAAGAAAUAAACAAAGUAAAUAUAUAAGCUAUAUGAGUAACAAAAGUUUCUAAAAAAACAAGGUUAUAUACAAAAUGUAAAACUAUAUCUACACGUAAAUUUAGUGAUAUAUAUAUUAUUAAGAUUAUAUUUAUAAAGGGUAUUUGAAAACAAAUAAUAUAUAAUUUUACAUGUAACAAAUUGAGUUAGAGUGAUGGAACAUAUAGAUAGUACAUACAUAAGGAUAAUAAAAUAAUGUAUACAAUAUAUAAAUCGUAUGAUAAAAAAAUAUGGUCUAGACAAAAUAUAUUAUACAUAUAAAUGACUUUAACGGAUAAUAUAUACGUUAAAAAAAUAUUUACAUAAAGUUAUAUGAAAAUAAGAACAUAUACUAUGGUAAAAAUAAUUUAACAUGGGUAAUGUACAUAUGAAGAAAAUUUAAAGAUAAUUGUAUGUCCAAAAUAAUAUUGAAUAAAAAAUGAAUUAUAAGAUUGACUAGAUUUUAUCAAAAAUUAUAUGUAAUAAAUCUUAAGAACAUAAUUACAUUCAAAUCUAUUAAAAACUACAUGAAUAAAAACAAUAUGACUUCUAUAAUGCAUGUAAGUAUUAAAUAUACGUUUAAUAACAACUUAAAUAAUAUACAAAAUAAAUGAAAUUCUCAAAAAGAAUAUAAACAUUAAGAUAUGUGAAAAAUCAUAGAAUUAAUAACAUACAUAAACCAUAAUAAAUUUUACUUCAAAUAAUACGCCAAUUGUUAAAAUAACAGAAUAAAUAAAAAAAAUUACAAAACUUAGCUAUCAAAACAACAUAAAACAUCACAGCCAAUGAGUAAGUAAAAAAAAAAAUUGCAAGUGCAGUAAAAUAAAAAUAAGACUUAAUUAGAACAAAUUUAGCACAAGAAGAACCAUUUACAAAUAAAAUAAUUGAAAAAUCGGAUCAAUAUGCCAUGCGCACAAAUGUGCGAGGACUAAAAUUGAAAAUAUACCGAACUCAUAAUACUUCGCUGAAUCGUGGACCAAAAUAAAAAAAACGCGCAAAUCAUAGGGCCAAAAUUAAAAAGACAAAGAUGACAAAUAGGACUCAAUUGGAGACGUCACGCGAAAGGAGGGAUCUAGCCCGAAUUUACCCAUUCAAACAAAAAGGGCGCAGAUCCGACUCCUUAAAUCGGGCUAAUGCGCGGACCUUCACUUUAUUAUACAGUGCAGUUUUUGAAAAUUGCUGUUAUACCUUCCUUUUUCAAUUGUUUUUCUUUUAAAACGCAGCAAACUUUCCUUUUAAACCUAAGUAUGCUAUCAGCCCAUUUUUUAGGGUUUCAUCUAGCAGGUGCCGCCAACAAAAGGAGCAUCUGAGUCAUAAAAUCAAUUUACAGCCUUAAAAUCUCUCCCCUCUUUUCAAUUUCAACGAAACAAAGAAGAUCCAUGGCGGAUUUAUAAAAUAAGAUCUCUUCUCUCGCUUUACCUUUUAUUUUAAAAUACAAUAUUGAAAGAUUGAAUAGGAAAUUGAAACGAUUCAAUCCGAAGAAAAAAAAAGAAACUAAAAGCCAAUAAAAAAACUGAAAAUCACCUCUAUAAAUCUACUCUCGAAAUACUUUUUCCAGUAUUUAGUGUGCGUAUGUAGGUGUAUAUUCUCUAUGCAUAAUCUCUUUUUUUCUUUUAUGCGAAGGGAUUUUGUGGAGAAAUAAAGAAAGAAAAAUGAAUUGAAACACUGGAGAAUGCAAUCUAAAAUUACCUUAGUUUUUCAUUGCUUUUUCCUUUUUUUUUUAAUAUUUCGUCCUCCCCUUUUACAUCAUUUCUCUUGCUUUUUAUAGUCGAAUAAAGAGAAAUAAAUAAAAAGUAAAUAAAAAAGAAAAUGCAAUGGAUUUGGAUUUUCUGUUAUGCCUUUGCUGUCAAUUGCUGUAGUUGUUAAUCAGUUGCAGGUGUGUAUAGCGCGGUGCUGCUGACAUGGCGAGGCCACUCGUGAGGCGUGAUGCGAAGGCUUCCAGAAGCUUCACUGUUUGGGGCUGCUGUGGUGCUUGCGGUGCAUGGGAACGGUAGCUUGGUGGCCUAGGGUUUCCACUUUCUGAAAAUAUUUAAUGGGCUAUGUUUUUGGGUUAGGUUAUUGGGCUAUGUAAUGGGUUAGGAUUAGGUUUAAUUUAGGUUUGGGCCUUAUUGUAAAAUGAGUUUAAAAUUUGGGCUUCAAUUAUAUGUGGGCUGAAUGUAAAUUUGGACUAUGGACAUUUAUUGGAUUUUUAUUUUGUGAUUUUUGUUUUUUUUAUUUCUGGUUUUUUUUGGAUUUUAACGGGCCUAGGUGAAAUGGGCCUAUUACAAUGAGCUCAUCUAUUCUUGAUGUAUAUGAAAACUUUGUGACUAAUAUGUUUGAUUGGAUGCAUGUGUUUAGGCAAUUUAGCCAAAUGGAUGGAAAACUUGUUAUUGUAUGCUUAGAUUUAAUAAACAGGAUUGGUAAAUUUAGUUUCCGUUAUACAAACUUAUUAAGCAUGUAAUGCUUACUCCGUUUAUUUUUCCCCUGUUUUAUAGUGCUCGAAAG